rnacentral:lncRNA from 1 species
AUUGGAUUCGUCUGUGUGAGUGGAGCCGGCAUUGACAGACGCCUCCGACUGAGAGCCGCAUAAAUGACAAAUGUUCCCCUCGUUUUAAAGCUGACCGUUUAAAGGCAUGACAUCUCGUUAUUAUCCCGGAGAAGGGUUUGAAGGUUUUGGCGAUCACACUGUUUAAAUCCUGUCUACCUUCCUCGAGCAGUAUGAAAACAUCUGCUGAAAGACUCAUCAGUUCAAUACCAACGUUCCAAACACAGGCUAUCUAUCUUGUUUCCCUCCUGGAAGGUUCUUCCUGUGCACAGACUGAUUUAACACCAGCUGGGUCAAAACUCACUGUUUCCUGUGAGAGGUGGAAGUGGAAAGGGCACACAGGAACUGAGUAGGUAUGCAACAGGGUGGUGUGUGUUUGUGUGUUUCCAGAGAGGAAUGAUCUAUGUGGAUGUGUGUGUGAAGGACUGUCUUGCAGUAAGUGUCCGAGGCAAAACAAUUAGGGAUGGUGGAUCGCAG